GUGCCAGCAGCCGCGGUAAUACGUAGGGUGCGAGCGUUGUCCGGAAUUACUGGGCGUAAAGAGCUCGUAGGCGGUUUGUCACGUCGUCUGUGAAAUCCUGCAACUCAAUUGCAGGCGUGCAGGCGAUACGGGCAGACUUGAGUACUACAGGGGAGACUGGAAUUCCUGGUGUAGCGGUGAAAUGCGCAGAUAUCAGGAGGAACACCGGUGGCGAAGGCGGGUCUCUGGGUAGUAACUGACGCUGAGGAGCGAAAGCGUGGGGAGCGAACAGGAUUAGAUACCCUGGUAGUCCACGCCGUAAACGGUGGGUACUAGGUGUGGGGCCUGUUUCCACGGGUUCUGCGCCGUAGCUAACGCAUUAAGUGCCCCGCCUGGGGAGUACGGCCGCAAGGCUAAAACUCAAAGGAAUUGACGGGGGCCCGCACAAGCGGCGGAGCAUGCGGAUUAAUUCGAUGCAACGCGAAGAACCUUACCAAGGCUUGACAUACACCGGAAUCAUGCAGAGAUGUGUGAGCCCUUGUGGCUGGUGUACAGGUGGUGCAUGGUUGUCGUCAGCUCGUGUCGUGAGAUGUUGGGUUAAGUCCCGCAACGAGCGCAACCCUUGUCUUGUGUUGCCAGCACGUUAUGGUGGGGACUCGCGAGAGACUGCCGGGGUUAACUCGGAGGAAGGUGGGGGAUGACGUCAAAUCAUCAUGCCCCUUAUGUCCAGGGCUUCACACAUGCUACAAUGGUCGGUACAGUGGGUUGCUACACCGCGAGGUGGUGCUAAUCCCUUAAAGCCGGUCUCAGUUCGGAUUGGGGUCUGCAACUCGACCCCAUGAAGUCGGAGUCGCUAGUAAUCGCAGAUCAGCAACGCUGCGGUGAAUACGUUCCCGGGCCUUGUACACACCGCCCGU
rnacentral:rRNA from 1 species